CCUACGGGCGGCAGCAGUGGGGAAUAUUGGACAAUGGGGGGAACCCUGAUCCAGCCAUGCCGCGUGUGUGAAGAAGGCCCUCGGGUUGUAAAGCACUUUCAGUGAGGAAGAACGCCUGGUGGUUAAUACCCAUCAGGAAAGACAUCACUCACAGAAGAAGCACCGGCUAACUCCGUGCCAGCAGCCGCGGUAAUACGGAGGGUGCGAGCGUUAAUCGGAAUUACUGGGCGUAAAGCGCGCGUAGGUGGCUUGAUAAGCCGGUUGUGAAAGCCCCGGGCUCAACCUGGGAACGGCAUCCGGAACUGUCAAGCUAGAGUGCGGGAGAGGAAGGUAGAAUUCCCGGUGUAGCGGUGAAAUGCGUAGAGAUCGGGAGGAAUACCAGUGGCGAAGGCGGCCUUCUGGACUGACACUGACACUGAGGUGCGAAAGCGUGGGUAGCAAACAGGAUUAGAUACCCUAGUAGUC
rnacentral:rRNA from 1 species